UCCAGUUCCAGGGAUUUCAAUACUCUUUUCUUGCCUCUGCAGGCACCAGGCACAUACAUGGCACAUAAACAUAAGUGCCCACAAAACACCAUCCACAUUGAAUGAAUGAAUGAAUGAAUGCAUGCGUGUUUUAAAUUAAGGAGGAGACAGGAAGAAGAAAAUAUCCGAAGUCAGCCUUUGACUUUGACAUAUACAUAUGCACACACACACAAGUUCAUAUGCAAAAGCACAGCAUUGUAUACUGAGAUUGCCAAUUUAAUUUAAGUUAUAUAUGGGAGGAUGCAAAAGGUAUAGAAGCAACAGGAAAAGUAGUCUUCCACUUCAAGGAGACUAAGAAAAACCUUCAUUCUGGGCAGCGGCUGAGCCGAGUGACAAAGUGAAUGCUAAUCAUCACAGGAGUUUUGAGACUCCUACAAUAAUCAAGAGUUUAUUGAUGAAUUUGAGCUGAAAACAUAUGAUCACAUUGGCAUGUAGUAGCUUUCUAAUGAAAGAAUAUUACUUGAGAGGUCAAAGCCAGGGCCAUUAAAUCCAUGCCAGAUGGAUGGUGAGGAACCAGAACAUUAGCCAUGUGGAAGCUGAAAAUCCUAUUAAUCAUAAUAUUCUCUUAAAGCAUCAACAUGUCUUCUACUACUUUGGCUAAAUAAAGUUUGCUUUUAACAAUAGAAGUGUAGCUUCCACUUAAGAACCAUUAAAAAUAGACCACACGAAGCUGAAGAGGUUGCUCAGUCACUAAAGUCAUGGGACCAGAGUUCAGAUCCCUAGCACCUAAAGUCAAGCAUGGUGAAGCACACGUGUAACCCCAGCACAGAGGAGGCGUGGAGACAGAUGACCUCCUUGGCUUGCUACAGCUAGUUUAGCCUUACCUCUAAAAAUAAGGGGGAGAAUGACAAAGGAAGACACCCACCCAAAGUGAACCUCUGGCUUCUACAGAUGUACAUGCACAAGCUCACACACAAGGGUACACAUAUGAACAUGUAAAGAUUACAAGACCUUCAGUUAGUAGGUGAACAAAUGGAACUUAAUGUUCAAAGUAUCAAAUCUACAAUAUUGUUAAAAGGUAUACCAUCUCAGUAUACAAGAUGUGAAAGAGUUAAUAAAUUUGUACUUGAACUGUUUCUCAGAGUCAAUAUCUUGAGUUAUCAUUCCUAUUCUCAUAACACUAGAUUAGAAAAACUGUUUUUCAUUAUGUUGAUUAGAGUUUCAUUAGCUUCAGUGCCUAACUUACUUUCUCCCAGGUCCAUAUCCCAUGUCUCUUCCUGUACAAGAGACUUGAAUGUACCAUCAUAACCCAUUAAGUAGCUGGUAAAUCAUUAUUCUUCCCAGCAACAUCUGAAGGAAACCUAAAAACAGUAUCCUUCGAUACCUGUGAAUGGGUCCACUUUUGUUAUCACAAUUGAGAAGAGCCAUCUAAUCAAUGAACUUCCUAAACAGUCUGGUUUUAAUUAUAAAUAGCAGCGUAUACAAAGUUCCCAAGAUGAGAGACAGACACCCUAUUCAUGAGCAGAAUUGUUAGUUAGAGAUGAAGCUGGAGGGAUAUCAAGAGGCCACUUUGAUUUCAAGUAGGUUAGCUGGUAGGAAGUUGGGAUCUAGCAUUAGAAGAGUGAUGAUCGGUCAAACACAUACUUAUAUACAUAGUGUGUUCCUUAUGUUUUGCAUGGAAAGACUUGUGUGCACUAGGAAAAGAAAAUAAAGAAUGAAGGUGGGAAUUUUUGAAGAAUUGACAAAAGGGAGUCAAUGAAAACGAAGUAAAAAUGCUAAGAAUAUUGCAUAUUACCUAGGUUUAGAAAUUGUUGCCACUUUUCCAAAGAGCAUUUGUUUGUUGAGUAAUUCCAUUUCUAGAGGCUCAUUUUAAAAUGAAAGAAAUUUUCUUUAUGUUAUAGUUUCUUCAAAAAUACAAGGUCAGUACCAAUAUGUAACUUAAUCACUUUCAUGACAAAAUGAUCAUCUUCAUUUUUCCUGAUUCUUAUAAACCAUGGAUGUUUUUGGUACAAUAGAACAUAAGGGGAAGAUUAAAUAUUGAGUAUCAUAGAACAUUAUCUCUGCUAUAGUACGAAUUCUAUACUGUCUAAAGGUGUUUGCCUUCUGAUUUAAAAUGUGUUAAUUUAAUAGCAGGAUUAUAUCAGAAUUUUAUAGUACUAUAAUACCUUGUAAGUUGUAGUGAAUAACUCCACUUAUAAGUAAGUGACAGUGAACUCCAAUGUUAGUGCAUUUCACCUAUUUUCAACUUGGAAAGAGAUCUUUUCCUCAUGUACUAUUACUAUAGUCCCAGGGAUGGCAGCAAGAUGAGUUUUUGUCACACCAUACCUUUUAUACUGUAGUGCAGAACUUUAGUUCCAUCCAGUCCUUGCUUCUUCCCUGCUUGGUUACCUUAUUACAGACACCCCACUAUGCCCACGUCAUCAGCUGAACAUUUUUUCUAAUUGCUAACAUUAUUUUUACUUGUAGGUAAAUUAGGUAAAUUCUGUGUCUGAAAAUGCACACAUUGUUAGCUGAUCUUAGAGCACACAAAGAAAGAUAGGCAGGGUUGUAUGUAUUAUGAAAUCUAAAUGUAUUAAGAAUCCUUUAUGAAGAUAAAGAUUAAUUGGAUUGCCCUGAAUCUCAUCUUUCAAUCUUAGAGGAGAACAAAAUGUUUCUACCUUUCCAAAGGGCAUUAUUUAGUGAGGUAUAUUAGGAAAAAAAUCAGAGCCAGGCACUGGUGGCGCACGCCUUUAAUCCCAGUACUUGGGAGGCAGAGGCAGGAGUAUAUCUGAGUUCAAGGCCAGCCUGGUCUACACAGUGAGUUCCAGGACAGCCAGGACUACACCACCCCACCCCC
rnacentral:lncRNA from 1 species